rnacentral:rRNA from 1 species
CGUAGGGUGCAAGCGUUAAUCGGGAAUUACUGGGGCGUAAAGCGUGCGCAGGGCGGUUUCGUAAGCUUGAUGUGAAAUCCCCGGGGCUCAACCUGGGAACUGCAUUGAGGACUGCGAGGCUAGAUACGGCAGAGGGGGGUGGAAUUCCACGUGUAGCAGUGAAAUGCGUAGAGAUGUGGAGGAACACCGAUGGCGAAGGCAGGCCCCCUGGGCCUGUAUUGACGCUCAUGCACGAAAGCGUGGGGAGCAAACAGGAUU